rnacentral:rRNA from 1 species
UACGAAGGGGGCUAGCGUUGCUCGGAAUCACUGGGCGUAAAGCGCACGUAGGCGGACUCUUAAGUCGGUGGUGAAAUCCUGGAGCUCAACUCCAGAACUGCCUUCGAUACUGAGAGUCUCGAGUCCGAGAGAGGUGAGUGGAACUGCGAGUGUAGAGGUGAAAUUCGUAGAUAUUCGCAAGAACACCAGUGGCGAAGGCGACUACCUGGCCUGUUCUUGACGCUGAGGCGCGAAAGCUAGGGGAGCAAACGGG